AGUGCCUGUGCAACAGUUCCUGAUGUUUCUUGUCCCAGUUUUGGCUAACAUCUCUAUAUCACAUCAUUGGGGAAAGAGCAAAAUGAACGGACAGCAGCUGCUUUUAAAAAUAUUAGAUCAGGCUUCUCAGCAGACAAGAGCGAUAAGCACCCUGCUGCUUCUGUGCUGCAACUUCUUCCAAGACACAGAAUGUCAAUAAGGACACUGCCUCAGAAGUGUCACAGUGAGGAAGGAACCAUGGCUGCUCCAUGUGAAGUACACCAAGUUAGAAGUGGUUCAUCUCAGUGGCUGGUGGCAAUCUCAGCAACAUGUUGCUAGUAAGAAAAUGAGGAUAACCUGACUGAGACCUGAUUUUCAAGGAGUUGCCUGCAGUCGAAUUAGCUGUAUGGGAUUCUUCCUAGGUACAAGGAAUGAUUCGUCUCCCUUUUUCCUUGUGACUCUCCACUGCAGGUGAACCCAGCAAAAUGGAACCACUAAUUUUUAAAUACAAGGGUUUUAAUGGA